rnacentral:snRNA from 1 species
GUGCUCACUUCGGCAACACAUAUACUAAAAUUGGAACGAUACAGAGAAGACUAGCAUGACCCCUGCGCAAGGGUGAUACACAAAUUCGUGAAGCGUUCCAUUUAAAA